CCGAUCGUAGUCCGGAUUGGAGUCUGCAACUCGACUCCAUGAAGUCGGAAUCGCUAGUAAUCGCAGAUCAGCAUUGCUGCGGUGAAUACGUUCCCGGGCCUUGUACACACCGCCCGUCACACCAUGGGAGUUGGCUGCACCAGAAGCCGGUAGUCUAACCUUCGGGAGGGCGCCGUCCACGGUGUGGUCGAUGACUGGGGUGAAGUCGUAACAAGGUAGCCGUAA
rnacentral:rRNA from 1 species